AGCGGAAGCCGGGAAUGGAAAGCCCGGUGCAAGCGGGGUACCAGCCACUCAGGCAAAUCCGGGUGGCAAUGGGAAGCCGUGAUGCGGAGUGAAAUAAAGUAACGAAGUCCGUGAGCCAUGCGUCAAGAAAAGCCGCUAUCGUUCAUACCGUACCCGUACCGUAAACCGACACAGGUGGAUGAGGAGAGAAUCCUAAGGCCGGCGGAAGAAGCAUUGUCAAGGAACUCGGCAAAAUGGCCCCGUAACUUAGGGAUAAGGGGUGCCUGGGAAACCAGGCCGCAGAGAAUAGGCUCAAGCAACUGUUUAGCAAAAACACAGGUCUAUGCGAAACCGAAAGGUGAGGUAUAUGGGCUGACGCCUGCCCGGUGCUGGAAGGUUAAGAGGAGAGGUUAGCGCAAGCGAAGCUUUGAAUUUAAGCCCCAGUAAACGGCGGCCGUAACAAUAACGGUCCUAAGGUAGCGAAAUUCCUUGUCGGGUAAGUUCCGACCCGCACGAAAGGCGUAAUGAUUUGAGCGCUGUCUCGACAAUGCAUCCGGUGAAAUUGAAGUACCAGUGAAGAUGCUGGUUACCUGCGCCAGGACGGAAAGACCCCAUGGAGCUUUACUCCAGUCUGGUACUGGGACUCGGUAUUGCAUGUACAGGAUAGGUGGGAGGCUGAGAGACAGUAACGCCAGUUAUUGUGGAGCCGCUGUUGGGAUACCACCCUUGCAGUAUUGGGUUUCUAACCAGCCGCCGUGACCCGGCGGUGGGACAAUGCCAGACGGGGAGUUUGACUGGGGCGGUCGCCUCCGAAAGGGUAUCGGAGGCGCCCAAAGGUUCCCUCAGAAUGGACGGAAACCAUUCGAAGAGUGCAAAGGCAGAAGGGAGCUUGACUGCGACACCGACGGGUGGAGCAGGUACGAAAGUAGGGCUUAGUGAUCCGGUGGUAUUAAGUGGGAAUGCCAUCGCUCAACGGAUAAAAGCUACCCUGGGGAUAACAGGCUUAUCACUCCCAAGAGUUCACAUCGACGGAGUGGUUUGGCACCUCGAUGUCGGCUCAUCGCAUCCUGGGGCUGUAGUAGGUCCCAAGGGUUGGGCUGUUCGCCCAUUAAAGCGGUACGCGAGCUGGGUUCAGAACGUCGUGAGACAGUUCGGUCCCUAUCCGGCGUGGGCGUAGGAUAUCUGAGAGGAGCUGUCCUUAGUACGAGAGGACCGGGAUGGACGGGCCGCUGGUGCAUCGGUUAGACUGCCAAGUCUACGGCCGAGUAGCCAAGCCCGGAAGGGAUAGACGCUGAAGGCAUCUAAGCGUGAAGCCCCCCUUAAGAUGAGAUAUCCCAUUCGUAAAGAAGUAAACCCCCUUGAAGACGACGAGGUAGAUAGGGCAGAGGUGGAAGUGCAGUAAUGCAUGGAGCUGACUGUUACUAAUCGGGUGAGGGCUUGACCA
rnacentral:rRNA from 1 species